CAGUUUUCAAUUUGGAAAGCCUAUACGGCAUUAGUUCCUAGACACCUGAAAGUGACACUGGUAUAGUCUGCAAACAGGAGUAUAAAUUUACUCCCGUUGCAUUUACAUAACCUGAGCUUUGGACUGUAUGAGGAGUGAAGCUGGAUCAGAUUUGGAAGCGACUUGAGAAUUGGCCAUCUGCAAGAACAUUGCCCAGAGGACGCCCGGAUGUUUUGAUGUUUUACCAUCC
rnacentral:lncRNA from 11 species